UCCUACGGGGAGCAGCAGUGGGGAAUUUUGGACAAUGGGCGAAAGCCUGAUCCAGCCAUGCCGCGUGAGUGAAGAAGGCCUUCGGGUUGUAAAGCUCUUUUAGUCGGAAAGAAAGAGUCAUAGUAAAUAGCUAUGAUUUAUGACGGUACCGACAGAAAAAGCACCGGCUAACUACGUGCCAGCAGCCGCGGUAAUACGUAGGGUGCGAGCGUUAAUCGGAAUUACUGGGCGUAAAGGGUGCGCAGGCGGCCUUGUAAGUCAGAUGUGAAAGCCCCGGGCUUAACCUGGGAAUUGCGUUUGAAACUACAAAGCUAGAGUGCAGCAGAGGGGAGUGGAAUUCCAUGUGUAGCAGUGAAAUGCGUAGAGAUGUGGAAGAACACCGAUGGCGAAGGCAGCUCCCUGGGUUGACACUGACGCUCAUGCACGAAAGCGUGGGGAGCAAACAGGAUUAGAUACCCUGGUAGUCCACGCCCUAAAUUAUGUCAACUAGUUGUCGGAUCUAAUUAAGGAUUUGGUAACGUAGCUAACGCGGAAGUGACCUCCUGGG
rnacentral:rRNA from 1 species